UUAAGGCAACCAUACCAGAUCUCCAAAGUUUAAGGAUCCUUUAGGGGUUGAUGCCCAACUCCAUCCAAAGGAAGUUUACGCUCAAAUAUGGGGGGAUUCUUGAUCUCUUGAGGGUCCCUGUGUAGGCAGAGGCAGUUACUGCCUUAACUCAGUUCUAUGAUCCACCCUUGUGAUGUUUCCUCUUUCAAGACUUUCUCCUAGCCCCUACGCUAGAAGAGUUUGAAUUAUAUGUAAAUGUCCCCCAAAACAGAAAGGGAUCCUACAUGGGAAUGAGGCAGAAG
rnacentral:lncRNA from 1 species